GGGGGUCUGUGGUGUUCUGUGGGGUUCUAUAGGGGAUCUGUGGGGUCUAUGGGGGAUCUAUGGGGAGAUCUAUGGGGGUCUGUGGGGAUCUAUGGGGUCCUGUGGGGUCUAGGGGGAAUUUAUGGGGGUCUAUGGGGUUCUGUGGGGCUCUAUAGAGGAUCUAUGGGGUUGUAUAGGGGAUCUGUGGGGUUCUGUGGGGUCUAGGGGGUAUUUAUGGGGAUCUAUGGGGGUCUAUGGGUCCCUAUGAGUCUCUAUGGGUCCCUAUGGGGUCUCUACGGGUCACUAUGGGUCUCUAUGGGUCCCUACGUGUCGCUAUGGGUCCUAUGGGUGCUGUGGGUCCCUAUGGGUCCCUAUGGGUCGCUAUGGGUCCUAUGGGUCUCUAUGGGUCCCUACGUGUCUCUAUGGGUUCUCUAUGGGUCCCUAUGGGUCUCUAUGUGUCCUAUGGGUCCUAUGGGUCCCUAUGGGUCCCUAUGUGUCCCUACGGGUCCUACGGGUCCCUGUGGGUCUCUAUGGGUCUCUAUGGGUCCCUACGUGUCUCUAUGGGUUCUCUAUGGGUCCCUACGUGUCUCUAUGGGUCCCUAUGUGUCCCUACGGGUCCCUGUGGGUCUCUAUGGGUCUCUGUGGGGUGUCUAUGGGUCUCUAUGGGUGUUGAUGGGGUCUCUAUGGGUCUCUAUGUGUCCCUAUGGGUCCCUAUGUGUCUCUAUGGGUCCCUAUGGGUCCCCAUGGGUCCUACGAGUCCCUGUGGGUCUCUAUGGCUCCCUAUGGGUCCCUAUGGGUCUUUACGGGUCCCUAUGGGUCCCUACGUGUCUCUAUGGGUCCCUAUGGGUCUGUAUGGGUCGCUAUGGGUCCCUACGUGUCUCUAUGGAUCCUAUGGGUCCCUAUGGGUCUCUAUGUGUCCUAUGGGUCCUAUGGGUCCCUAUGGGUCCCUAUGUGUCCCUANNNNNNNNNNNNNNNCUCUAUGGGUCUCUAUGGGUCCCUACGUGUCUCUAUGGGUUCUCUAUGGGUCCCUACGUGUCUCUAUGGGUUCUCUAUGGGUCCCUACGUGUCUCUAUGGAUCCUAUGGGUCCCUAUGGGUCCCCAUGGGUCCUACGGGUCCCUGUGGCUCCCUAUGGGUCCCUAUGUGUCUCUAUGGGUCCCUAUGGGUCUUUAUGGGUCUCUACGGGUCCGUGUGGGUCUCUAUGGGUCCCUAUGUGUCCCUAUGGGUCUGUAUGGGUCGCUAUGGGUCCCUAUGUGUCCCUAUGGGUCCUAUGGGUCCCUGUGGCUCCCUAUGUGUCCCUAUGUGUCCCUAUGUGUCUCUAUGGUUCCCUAUGGGUCUUUAUGGGUCUCUAUGGGUCCGUGUGGGUCCCUAUGGGUCCCCAUGUGUCCCUAUGGGUCUCUAUGGGUCUCUAUGGGUCCGUGUGGGUCCCUAUGUGUCCCUAUGGGUCCUAUGUGUCCCCAUGUGUCCCUACGGGUCCUAUGUGUCCCCAUGUGUCCCCGUGUGUCCCUGUGGGUGCGACUCACACGAGGUGGGUGCAGUCGGGCCCCCACUGCGGCCGGUACUUCGCCCCCAUGUUGACGGCGGCGGCCCUCAGGCGGCCCCGCAGCGGGUGGGUGAAACCGCUCAGCGCCACCACCACCCCCCCCAGGACCCCCGCCCCCUUUAUGGGGUCG
rnacentral:lncRNA from 1 species